rnacentral:rRNA from 1 species
UACGGGGGGGGCAAGCGUUGUUCGGAAUUACUGGGCGUAAAGGGUUCGUAGGCGGCCAACUAAGUCAGACGUGAAAUCCCUCGGCUUAACCGGGGAACUGCGUCUGAUACUGGAUGGCUUGAGUUCGGGAGAGGGAUGCGGAAUUCCAGGUGUAGCGGUGAAAUGCGUAGAUAUCUGGAGGAACACCGGUGGCGAAGGCGGCAUCCUGGACCGAUACUGACGCUGAGGAGCGAAAGCCAGGGGAGCAAACGGG